UACGGAGGGGGCUAGCGUUGUUCGGAAUUACUGGGCGUAAAGCGCACGUAGGCGGAUUGGCAAGUUGGGGGUGAAAUCCCAGGGCUCAACCCUGGAACUGCCUUCAAAACUCCCAGUCUGGAGGUCGAGAGAGGUGAGUGGAAUUCCGAGUGUAGAGGUGAAAUUCGUAGAUAUUCGGAGGAACACCAGUGGCGAAGGCGGCUCACUGGCUCGAUACUGACGCUGAGGUGCGAAAGCGUGGGGAGCAAACAGG
rnacentral:rRNA from 1 species